rnacentral:rRNA from 1 species
UACGUAGGGUGCAAGCGUUAAUCGGAAUUACUGGGCGUAAAGCGUGCGCAGGCGGUUUUGUAAGUCUGUCGUGAAAUCCCCCGGGCUCAACCUGGGAAUUGCGAUGGAGACUGCAAGGCUAGAAUCUGGCAGAGGGGGGUAGAAUUCCACGUGUAGCAGUGAAAUGCGUAGAGAUGUGGAGGAACACCGAUGGCGAAGGCAGCCCCCCUGGGUCGAAGAUUGA